UUAGCCCUCAGGUUUUCCAUGUUGUGAUAACAAUUGAUCAGUGUAAUCUCUCUGGUUAAUUUCGAAUCAUGUGUUCUUGGCUUAUUGGUCUUGAAAGUAUAUUGCUAGAGGCUUUCAGAGGUAGUUAAUGAUUUGAAACCAAUAUUGUGAAACCAGUGGGAAAUUGAACGUUAAUUAAGCUACAGUUUUUUUGGGGGGCUUCUAAAUACUUAUGAACAAAGCUAAACACUUA
rnacentral:lncRNA from 1 species